GAUUAACGCUAGCGGCAGGCAUAAUACAUGCAAGUUGAACGAGAUUAGUUUUAGCAAUAGAACUUUUUUAGUGGCGCACGGGUGCGUAACGCGUAUGCAACCUACCUUAAACAGGGGAAUAGCCUCUCGAAAGAGAGAUUAAUACCGCAUAAUAUAUAUUUAGAGCAUUCUAGAUAUAUUAAACCUACGGGGGUUUAAGAUGGGCAUGCGUGACAUUAGCUAGUUGGUGAGGUAACGGCUCACCAAGGCAACGAUGUCUAGGGGGUCUGAGAGGAUGUCCCCCCACACUGGUACUGAGACACGGACCAGACUCCUACGGGAGGCAGCAGUAGGGAAUAUUGGUCAAUGGAGGCAACUCUGAACCAGCCAUGCCGCGUGCAGGACUAAGGCCCUAUGGGUCGUAAACUGCUUUUGAACGGGAAGAAAUGUAUCUACGUGUAGAUAUUUGACGGUACCGUUAG
rnacentral:rRNA from 1 species